UACGGAGGGUGCAAGCGUUAUCCGGAUUCACUGGGUUUAAAGGGUGCGUAGGUGGGCAGGUAAGUCAGUGGUGAAAUCUCCGAGCUUAGCUCGGAAACUGCCGUUGAUACUAUUUGUCUUGAAUAUUGUGGAGGUAAGCGGAAUAUGUCAUGUAGCGGUGAAAUGCUUAGAUAUGACAUAGAACACCAAUUGCGAAGGCAGCUUACUACACAACGAUUGACGCUGAGGCACGAAAGCGUGGGGAUCAAACAGG
rnacentral:rRNA from 1 species